UACAUGGGGUGCAAACGUUGCUCGGAAUUAUUGGGCGUAAAGCGCACGUAGGCGGUUCGUUAAGUCGGACGUGAAAGCCCUCGGCUCAACCGAGGAAGUGCAUCCGAAACUGGCGAGCUAGAGUACGAAAGAGGAUCGCGGAAUUCCCGGUGUAGAGGUGAAAUUCGUAGAUAUCGGGAGGAACACCAGUGGCGAAGGCGGCGAUCUGGGUCGAUACUGACGCUGAGGUGCGAAAGCGUGGGGAGCAAACAGG
rnacentral:rRNA from 1 species